UCACCAAGGAGCCUGGCGGCCGUGAUGUAACUAGAUUCACAGAUGGGGAGGCUGAUUCUCGGAAAGUGGGAAGCAUGCUGCUGGGGAAAGGGUGACAGUUUCUCACCACCAACCCUACAGGAGGCUGGGCACAAAUGCUCUUUGUAACACAUCUUGAACGUGGGUGUGCAGAGAAUCCUGACCACUCGAUGCUGGUGCUGAUGUGCAGAGAAGCAGCAGAUCCCAACGACUGCCGAGCGUGCUCUGAAUCUGAAAAACAGUGAGAAGAUUUUCCUGCUCAAGAAAGGCAAUUUCACCUCCACUUGAAGGAACUGGAGUGCCUUACAGAGAACAUCUCAACAAGAGAACACGGAGUUCAGAGA
ensembl:lncRNA